GUUUUCUAGUGUUCAUAUUCCCAUAUUCUGAUUAUCAAUAACAAAAAGGAAACAAAUGAAAAAAAAUCAUAUAAUGAAGAAAACUCCAAAAUCCUUAUAAAUUAGGAAGGUGCCUCUUUUACUGAUACAUGCCUCUCAUGACCUCUGCAAGAUCCCCUUUGAAUAUCGUCUACAAAAAUAUUAUUUUUUUCUAAAUCCUUCUUUACACUGUAUAUUGGCUUUGGCUUUUCAUGAGAAAAGCAAUAAGAAUGAGACCAAAGAGAGGGCUUUGUGUCUGGUUUUA